CCUCCUAAGACUGGUCUACUAGAAGGUGAGAGAACACAUGGACCAGAGCCCAGCUGUCCCUCUAAGAUCAGCCAAGAUGCCCUACAGCUGACCUAGAGUGGACCCCAGACACAUGGGAGAGCCCGACCAAAUCUAGCUCAGUUGACCUAAGGACUUGAACAGCAAUAAAUGAUAGCACUGGAAGUUCCUGCUAUUUAAAGGUUUAUAAAAUUAAUCCGAACCACCUCAGAAUGGUGUUUUCUUUGAAAAAGAGCCUUCCACAGGCCCAAUGUGCUAACAGAUUCUUCUGGCAGGGGACAGUUUAAGAGAGAAUGGAGAAAUUUAGUCAAAGA